rnacentral:rRNA from 1 species
AUACAGAGGGUGCGAGCGUUAAUGGGAAUUACUGGGCGUAAAGCGCGCGUAGGCGGCUUAUUAAGUCAGAUGUGAAAUCCCCGGGCUCAACCUGGGAACUGCAUCUGAUACUGGUAAGCUAGAGUUUUGGAGAGGGAAGUAGAAUUUCAGGUGUAGCGGUGAAAUGCAUAGAGAUCUGAAGGAAUACCAGUGGCGAAGGCGACUUCCUGGCCAAAAACUGACGCUGAGGUGCGAAAGCGUGGGUAGCAAACGGGAUUAGAAACCCCUGUAGUCC